CAUCAGGUUGGCCUAGUCUAUGGUUUUCUCGGUCCAACUAGCCACUUGCAUGUUAGUCCAAGCAUCCUACUCACUUUAGUAGCCCCUAAGGGAAUCCUCAUCCGUGACCACUCCUAACCCUAAUUUAUCCUGUAUCUUGUCCUCGUAUGUUUGUAUUGGUUGUUUAUUUGUUUAGUUUCUUUGCAUUCUAUUCACUCUCUCUUAAAUUGUGUCGGUUGAACAACAUUGUAAAAGUGAAGUAAAGGUAGCUUCUCGGGCCAUAUGGAAUACGACCACUGUGUCACGCACAGGGUAUUACUUGAUGACCAGUGCGCUUGCCGGAUAGCAUUCAUCAGCGUCUAUCCCGUCCACUAUGCCAGCGAUGUUCUCCUGGCCUUAACUGGCUAGCUCGUGCCUCCAGUGCCAUUACUUUGAAGAAGUUAGAGUGCUCAAAGCAAGACCAUGCUCUAGAUACAUUAGCAUGGGAUAACAUCAUACGAUUCCAUUCCUAUUGUGUUAGCCUUCGUGAUCAGUGUAAUGAUUAAGAGGGCCAGUCGGGAGCAUUUGUAUUUCAUAGUCAGAGGUGAAAUUCUUAGAUUUAUGAAAGACGAACCACUACGAAAGCAUUUGCCAAGGAUGUUUUCAUUGAUCAAGAAUGAAAGUUAGGGGAUCGAAGAUGAUCAGAUACCGUCUUAGUCUCAACCAUAAAAGAUGCCAACCAGGGAUCGGCGGAUGCUACAUUUAGGACUCCACCAGCACCUUAUGAGAAAUCAAUGUCUUUGGGUUCCAGGGGGAGUAUGGUCGCAAGGCUGAAACUUAUAGAAAUUGAUGGAAGGGCACCACCAGGAGUGGAGCCUGCGGCUUAAUUUGACUGAACACGGGGAAACUUACCAGGUCUAGACAUAGUAAAAAUUGACAGACUGAGAGCUUUUUCUUGAUUCUAUCGGUGGUGGUGCAUGGCCGUUCUUAGUUGGUGGAGCGAUUUGUCUGGUUAAUUCCGAUAACGAAUGAGACCUCAGCCUGCUAACUAACUAUGCGGAGGAAUCCCUUAGCGGCCAGCUUUUUAGAGGGACUGUGGUCGUUUAGGCCACUGAAGUUUGAUGCAAUAACAGGUUUGUGAUGCCCUUAGAUGUUCUAGGUCGAACACGCGCUACAUUGAUGUAUUCAAUGAGUCUAUAGCCUUCGUCGAUAGACCCGGGUAAUCUUGUAAAAUUUCAUCGUGAUGGGAAUAAAUCAUUGCAAUUAUUGGUCUUUAACGAGGAAUCCUUAGUAAGCGUGAGUCAUCAGCUCGUGUUGACUACGUCCCUGCCUUUUAUACACAUCGUCUGUCACUCCUACCGAUUCGAUGGUCUGGUGAAGUAUCUGGAUCACGGUGAUGGGUGCGAUCUCGCUGCCAGUGACGUCCAAGAAGUCCACUGAACCUUAUCAUUUAUAGGAAGGAGAAGUCGCAACAAGGUUUCUGUAGGUGAACUUGUGGAAGG
rnacentral:rRNA from 1 species